AAACAAUGAUGUGGACAACUAGCACAUAAUUUUUUAAAUCUCUCCUAAUAAUCAUAGAGGGUAUUUCCUUCAUUUUUUGAAUUCCCAAAAAUAUUUCUUCUUAGUUC